UAUUCCCUGAGACACGACUCCACUUUGGCUUCCUUGCCCCUCCCAGGCCUGGUUCCCUGGCCUGGGAGUCCCACUUAUUUCUGUUCCUUUUCUUCUCAAUAAACUUUUUCUUUCUCUAAACAAACUGCCUCUUCUCGCUUGCUUGCCUGAGCGUCUGCGAAGUUCCUGCUGCGGCUUCGUGAGACACCAACCCGUGGGGGUCUAGCGGCUGGGGCUCAGCGCUGCCCUGCAGCCUGGGAUCCAUUCCUGGCUGGGAGACUAGGCCUGACAAUUCCGGUAUCAUUUUGGGGGCUCGUCCGGGAUCUCACAAGAUUUUGGGCCACAGUUGAUCCUGAGUAACUGAAACAGCAGAAAGCAAACUCUUGGCUACAGGAUGUCUACAAUACCUUCACAUGACGUCUACAACUUGACCUCUACAAAGCUAUGGGGAAAUGAGCAGGAGAGGUAGUAAACCUGCCGCCAUUCUAGAGGAGGGAACAGCUAGAAGCAGAACCAGGACUAGACCCAGCAGCUGAUGCAGGUCUGGCCUCCACUCAGAGGCCCAAGAACUCCAAGAGGGAAAGAUCCAGAAAGAAAGGUGAAUGCCGCACAGAUACCCCUGGACCUCGACACAAAAUAUGGAGGAAGAUUUGAUAAGAGACAUAUUUUCCAAAUUGUGUGUCUGGGUGGCUCCAAAGCAUGAGCUUUUGUUAUAGGACAGGGAGAGGGGCAGCCCAAACCCCGCAAACCUGCCUAUUCUAAAUGGGUUCUGCCAUCCGCCGCAUCAACAUAAAACACUUGAGACUUUAAUGGGAAGGAACUUUAAUAAAACUAGGAAACAAUACAGGUAAGGCAAAGAGUCUAGUUUCUAAAUGAAGCACCCAAAGUUACCCGUCCCCUCGGGGGUAAAACUCCAUCCAUAUGGGAUCAGCCCAGAACAAGGCCCCGAAGCCUGCUACAAGUCUACAGCAUCUUCCAGUGGGGACCCACAGAAAAGGGUCACAAACAACCGGACAAGCCCGGAAGGAAAAGAGCAAAAUCAACAUCAAGAUAAAAGCUGCCAUUGUCACCUCCCCACGGGUCUCACCCACAUCUGUGUCACCCAGUCCACGACCAAAAGACAAGCACAGUUUCUUUACGUGUCUCUAGGCUCCAUGCGCCUCCUCCAGGUCUCCUUCUGGCUCCAUCCUGCUCCUUCCUCAGUCUCUUCUUCAGCUUCCCCUCUUCCUGCUCAGCUCCACCCUCCCUUGGGUGGGGCAGGGAACCUCCCCCUUUCCUGGGGACCACCCUGUUACACUUUCAGUAGUUGCUUUUUUAAAAUUAAUCUUUUUCUUAAUUUAAUUUAAAAAUUUUCCCAUAUAUCCCCUUUGCUGCACCUCCCCCUGCAGUGACCUUUAGGGCUAACCGUCUCUAGGUCCAGCUGGGCAACCAGCGCGCAGGGGGAGAACAGCAAAACCCUACAUACCUGCUGCACCUCCCCCCGCAGUGAUCUUUAGGAAUGGCUUUCGCCAGGGUCCCUAGAUCCGGCUGGGCAACCAGCGCACGGGGGGAGAACAGCCUGAAGCAGAGGAAGUUCAGCGGAAGUUCCCUGAAAAGGCAGAAGCUUAUCAAAAGACAACGACCACCAAGAACCACUACAAGAAUGCUAAAAAUCUUAUCCCUUCUUUCUAGAACUACAAACUUUAAUCCCUUAUUUGUCUUUCUAAACUUCCUUCUUUCUUCUAUAAUGGUCAUUGCUUGUUAUGUAGAUCACCUCCCUGAUGGUCAUAGACUGAGCCCAUGAGCAAGCUGAUUUCAUUGAUAUUCAUUGUCCCUGUGUUUUUGGAAAACAUAUAUAUAUACUGGUCACAAACUUAAAGAAAAUUACACUCAGAUUUUCACUCUUGAAGUGUGUCUGUUUGUCAU